AUCAUAAGCUUCUGUUGUGUCUAUUAGUACAUCAAUAAUGUUCAUCUUACAUUAACUGACAUUAUCUCAAAAACACCUUUUCUCGUUGAUGCAAAAUACAUCUCUUUGAAAAAGAAAAAAAGCGCUUGAUCGGAAAUAUCAAAGCAUCGUGAAUAAAAAAAAGUUUAAAAAAAUCAACGUUGGAGCACAAAAACAAAGGAUGAAAAAACCGAGAGCCGGGAGGAGAAAAUCGUUGGGGAAGAGGCAGAUGACAUCUCAUAUCUACAUCAAAUCUUAAUCAUAUUUGAUGUACCAUUUUCCAACGGAUAAUCAGCAACACCGACGACUAGAUAUGGAUAUUUUCAUGCAAAGGUAUAGUCGUUGAAAUCAUUAAACAGUUUCGUGUUACUGCAGGGAGCGAGCGCCAUCUAGCGAGCGGGUGAAUCUACCGAGGCGGCAUGUGGCGACACAAUGGAGGGUAUGGAGGGUAUCGAGGGUAUCGAGGGUUACGAGUUGUGAACGAACCAGUGAUAUUCUGUGCGCCAGGAAUUCGAUCACGCUAGAUCGGAAGUCGUUCUUCCCGACUGACAGCCACACGGGCAGACGAAGCGGAACCACUUUCGCCAUGAAAACCCUUUUUCAUGACACUUUUGACGCCGGUCGUUUCAGACACCAUGUUCUGGGGAGGAAACAGUGGGAGGAAAGAUGUGACGAAGAUGGGAGUGGGGCACAGCAAGGAAGAGAUGGAGAUGGAGAGGGGGUAGGGGUGGAGCAGGGAGUACGGAGCCUGAGGAUGGAGGGAAAGUGGAAGUGAUGUUCGGCUACUGGAUGAUGUGUAAAAAGGGGAGGAAAUGUAUCGUGACUGUGCUAGUGACGACAUCCAAACAGACCAGCAGGUGCCCUUCUCUAAGAUCGCCUUCUGGCUGCGAUCCCAAAUGUUUCAAGCCGGGCGGUCAUUUGGAUGUAUCCGGUUGGCCACGUGACCCUCCCCUGAGACGCAACACUACAUAAAUUGUCCGCUGAUCCGCAACUCGUCACCGUCCACACCCCCCACCAGCCAUCCACCUCUUCAGUGGUUUUCCCAUCAUCAUGAACCAUGCAAAACAAGUUCCCGGGUCGUGCAUUUGCAUGCUGCGGUCAGGGGAGAGAAGUGCUAGGGGACGCAACUCUCCCAUCCGCGCGCCAUCUCUGUUUGCCUGGCGUCCAUAUUUCCCGUUGGACUCGUCGGGCGACGCAGAUAUCAGCUCACGUCUGACAGACUCUGGAUGAUAAAGACGACGAGGAAAAGGCCGCAGCAGA